AGAGUUUGAUCCUGGCUCAGGACGAACGCUGGCGGCGUGCCUAAUACAUGCAAGUCGAACGCGUCUCCGUUAAUGAUUUUAGGUGCUUGCACUUGAGAGAUUUAACAUUGAGACGAGUGGCGAACUGGUGAGUAACACGUGGGUAACCUGCCCUUGAAGUAGGGGAUAACACUUGGAAACAGGUGCUAAUACCGUAUAACAACCAAAACCACCUGGUUUUGGUUUAAAAGACGGCUUCGGCUGUCACUUUAGGAUGGACCCGCGGCGUAUUAGCUUGUUGGUAAGGUAACGGCCUACCAAGGCGAUGAUACGUAGCCGACCUGAGAGGGUAAUCGGCCACAUUGGGACUGAGACACGGCCCAAACUCCUACGGGAGGCAGCAGUAGGGAAUCUUCCACAAUGGACGAAAGUCUGAUGGAGCAACGCCGCGUGAGUGAUGAAGGGUUUCGGCUCGUAAAACUCUGUUGUUGGAGAAGAACAGGUGUCAGGGUAACUGUUGACAUCUUGACGGUCAUCGGAAACCGGGAGACUUGAGUGCAGAAGAGGACAGUGGAACUCCAUGUGUAGCGGUGAAAUGCGUAGAUAUAUGGAAGAACACCAGUGGCGAAGGCGGCUGUCUGGUCUGUAACUGACGCUGAGGCUCGAAAGCAUGGGUAGCGAACAGGAUUAGAUACCCUGGUAGUCCAUGCUGUAAACGAUGAGUGCUAAGUGUUGGAGGGUUUCCGCCCUUCAGUGCUGCAGCUAACGCAUUAAGCACUCCGCCUGGGGAGUACGACCGCAAGGUUGAAACUCAAAGGAAUUGACGGGGGCCCGCACAAGCGGUGGAGCAUGUGGUUUAAUUCGAUGCUACGCGAAGAACCUUACCAGGUCUUGACAUCUUCUGCCAACCUAAGAGAUUAGGCGUUCCCUUCGGGGACAGAAUGACAGGUGGUGCAUGGUUGUCGUCAGCUCGUGUCGUGAGAUGUUGGGUUAAGUCCCGCAACGAGCGCAACCCUUAUUGUUAGUUGCCAGCAUUCAGUUGGGCACUCUAGCAAGACUGCCGGUGACAAACCGGAGGAAGGUGGGGAUGACGUCAAAUCAUCAUGCCCCUUAUGACCUGGGCUACACACGUGCUACAAUGGACGGUACAACGAGUCGCGAAACCGCGAGGUCAAGCUAAUCUCUUAAAGCCGUUCUCAGUUCGGAUUGUAGGCUGCAACUCGCCUACAUGAAGUUGGAAUCGCUAGUAAUCGUGGAUCAGCAUGCCACGGUGAAUACGUUCCCGGGCCUUGUACACACCGCCCGUCACACCAUGAGAGUUUGUAACACCCAAAGACGGUGAGGUAACCUUCGGGGACCAGCCGUCUAAGGUGGGACAGAUGAUUAGGGUGAAGUCGUAACAAGGUAACC
rnacentral:rRNA from 2 species